UACGUAGGGGGCAAGCGUUGUCCGGAAUUAUUGGGCGUAAAGAGCGUGUAGGCGGUCCGGUAAGUCAGCUGUGAAAGUCAAGGGCUCAACCCUUGAAAGCCGGUUGAUACUGUCGGGCUAGAGUCCGGGAAGAGGCGAGUGGAAUUCCCGGUGUAGCGGUGAAAUGCGCAGAUAUCGGGAGGAACACCAGUGGCGAAGGCGGCUUCCUGGCCUGUUCGUUGACGCUGAGGCGCGAAAGCUAGGGGAGCAAACGGG
rnacentral:rRNA from 1 species